GACGAACCGUGCGAACGUUGUUCGGAAUCACUGGGCUUAAAGGGUGCGUAGGUGGGCCUGUAAGUCAGCGGUGAAAUCUCCGGGCUUAACCCGGAAACUGCCAUUGAUACUAUAGGUCUUGAAUUAUCUGGAGGUAAGCGGAAUAUGUCAUGUAGCGGUGAAAUGCUUAGAUAUGACAUAGAACACCAAUUGCGAAGGCAGCUUACUACGGAUAUAUUGACACUGAGGCACGAAAGCGUGGGAUCAAACAGG
rnacentral:rRNA from 1 species